GUCUUUUUGAAAAUAAUUUAAAGUCUAAUCUGCCCACUGAAUAUAAUUUAAAGGGCUGCAGUAUAUUGACUGUACAAAGGUAGCAUAAUCAAUAGUCUUUUAAUUGAAGACUUGUAUGAAUGAUUUGAUGAGAUAUAAACUGUCUCUUUAUUAAAAAUAAAAUUUAAUUUUUUAGUUAAAAAGCUAAAAUAAUUAUAAAAGACGAGAAGACCCUAUAGAGUUUAAUAUUUAAUUAAAUUUAUAUUUUAUAUAAAAUUUUAAAUUUGAAUAUAAUUAAAUAUUUUGUUGGGGUGAUAGAAAAAUUAAAUAAACUUUUUUUAAAAAAUUAACAUUAAUUAAUGAAUAUAUGAUCCAUAAUUUAUGAUUAAAAGAAUAAAUUACCUUAGGGAUAACAGCGUAAUUUUUUUUUUUAGUUCAAAUAAAAAUUAAAGUUUGCGACCUCGAUGUUGGAUUAAGAUAAAAUUUAAAUGCAAAAGUUUAAAAUUUUGAUCUGUUCGAUCAUUAAAAUCUUACA
rnacentral:rRNA from 1 species